AUUGAACGCUGGCGGCAGGCUUAACACAUGCAAGUCGAGCGAGCGGCGGACGGGUGAGUAAUGUAUGGGGAACUGCCCGAUGGAGGGGGAUAACUACUGGAAACGGUGGCUAAUACCGCAUACUAUCGGAUGUACCCAGAUGGGAUUAGCUAGUAGGUGGGGUAAAGGCUCACCAAGGCGACGAUCCCUAGCUGGUUUGAGAGGAUGAACAGCCACACUGGGACUGAGACACGGCCCAGACUCCUACGGGAGGCAGCAGUGGGGAAUUUUGGACAAUGGGCGAAAUCCUGAUCCAGCCAUGCCGCGUGUAUGAUGAAGGCCUUAGGGUUGUAAAGUACUUUCGGCAGAGAGGCGUUACCCGCAGAAUAAGCACCGGCUAACUCCGUGCCAGCAGCCGCGGUAAUUC
rnacentral:rRNA from 1 species